AUGGAGCCACGCGGCUGUCGCCGGAAGCAGCAGGGGGCGGCGGAGGACAAGGAGAACACCGCCGGCACGGCGCCGCCGCCCCCCAAGAGGCCGCGCUGCACGGAGCGCAGGGCCCUUGCCGAGCUCCCCGCCGCAUCCACCGCGAACAACGCCUCGGCGGCGCCGUCCAAGCCGAUGACGCGCGCGGCGGCCAGGGAGGCGGCCGCCGCGGCGGUGGAGGAGGAGGCGCGGAGGAGGGAGUGUUCCGCCAUUGCCGCCCGCCCGGCGGCCUCGAGGCAGACGGACGCCGGGGCGGCGCAGGCGUCGGUUGGCCCGUACGUCGCGGAUAUCGACGGUUACCUGCGGUCCCUGGAGGUUGAACAAUUGAGGAGGCCGAGGGAUGACUAUAUGGUGGCCAUGCAGAAAGACGUCAACGCCACUAUGAGGGGGAUCUUAGUAGAUUGGUUGGUGGAUGUGGUUGACGAGUUCAAGCUUCUGGUUGACACACUUUACAUUGCGGUUUCAUAUAUUGACCGCUUCCUCACGGCGAGUGUCAUUACCCGGGACAGGCUGCAAUUGCUUGGUGUCGCUUCAUUGUUUGUUGCUGCGAAGUACGAAGAGAUUCAUGUUCCUAAGUUGGACAAAUUCAGUGACAUUACUGACGGCACAUACACCAAUCAGCAGGUGGUGAAGAUGGAGGCUGACAUACUGAAAUAUCUCAACUUUCAGAUGGGGAGUCCCACCGUAAGAACUUUUCUAUUAAGAUUCCUAAUAUCUUGUCGUGGAGGCAAUUGUGCAAGUGCAAAAAGGUUGGAGCUUAUGUGCUGCUAUCUCGCGGAAUUGAGCUUGCUAGACUACGACUGCAUAAGGUUCCUGCCAUCAGUUAUUGCUGCUGCCUGUAUGUUCUUAGCCAGGUUCACAAUCAGCCCAAAGAUUCGUCCUUGGAACUUGACGCUGCAAGAGAAAACGGGCUACAAGGUCUCUGAUCUCAGGAGCUGCAUCCUGAGGAUACACGAUUUGCAGUUGGGCAGACAGUAUUCAAAUCUGAAGGCCAUCAGGAGCAAGUAUAGUGAGCGCAAGUUCGGGUGCGUGUCGAUGAUGGCCUCACCUGUAGAAAUUCCUGCAUCUCUCCUCGAAGACCUCGAUAAGUGA
rnacentral:rRNA from 1 species